rnacentral:lncRNA from 1 species
CCUUGAACUUGUGGAGCAGCACUCCUGCCUCAGCCUCCCAAGUCCUGAGAUUACAGGCGUGUGCCACACCUGGCUGGUGGUUCAGUUCUGAGAUGAGCGUGUCUUUCAUCUCAGUUGUUGAGGAAUCUCAAGAAGUCACUGAAGCUGGGUGCCACAGAACUGUUCCAGUGACUCCACCCUUUGUUUUGUUCUCUUGUGGACAUACUGUCUGUCCAUCUACCCUCUGCCCUUGGUGGAGUAGAAGAAGAAGAGACCUUGGAUUAUGAGGAGUCUUGAUCCUUUGAGGCAGCGGCAUGGCACAGGCUUAGUCUUUCAGAGACAGCGUCUUUGCUGUGCCUGGAGGUGUACAGGCUACGCCUGUCCGAGUGAGAGUUACCUACAAGGUUUAGGAAGAGGGACCAGCUUGCUGGCUUGGGGACACUUCGGUUCAGCACUACUGUUCAGCAGUCCGGCUUCUGAUGUUCUGCCUUCCCUCCUCAACUCACAGCCUUAUACAGCCGUGCGUUGCUGCAGCCUCCUAAGCGUUGCCUACCUUCUCAGGACGCAGGUGCACCUCCCGCAUUGGACUCAGCUCUUCUGCCCUCCCUUGUCAUCCACAGUAGCUUCAGCCUUCUUGCUGCCAAUAUCCAUCCUUAAGGGCUCCUCCUGCCCCAACUCUGGGCUCCUUCUGAAACUUGAGACCUGUGUUGAAGCAUAAUUUUCAGAAAGCUGGGAACAUGAUGCUCAUGUAAACUGUAGGGAGCGUGUAUCAGAGAUUUCUCUCAUUAAUUAGGGAGCCAGCAGGAGGAUCAAAAUUAAGAGGGCAUGGGGCCGGGGAUGUGGCUCUGGCAUCGCACCUGCCUAGCAAGCACAAGGUCCUGAGUUCAAUCCCGGUUACUAGAAAAAAAAAAUAGAGGGCAGUAAGUCCAUAAAUCUUUUCCCACUAACAAGGAUCACUUCCACCAGGGAUUUAGCUCAGUGGUUUUGCCGCCUGCUGCGCAAGCGCAAGGACCAGAGUUUGAUUCUCGGUACCAAAAAAAAAAGAAUCACUUCCAAUUUAUCAACCCUCUAUUCUCUGUAAGUUAACAUCCCACUUUAUAGAGUAUGGGUCUUAAUCAG